UACGUAGGGUGCAAGCGUUGUCCGGAAUUAUUGGGCGUAAAGAGCGUGUAGGCGGCCCGAUUAGUCCGCUGUGAAAGUCCAGGGCUCAACCCUGGAAUGCCGGUGGAUACUGUCGGGCUAGAGUCCGGAAGGGGCGAGUGGAAUUCCUGGUGUAGCGGUGGAAUGCGCAGAUAUCAGGAGGAACACCAAUAGCGAAGGCAGCUCGCUGGGACGGUACUGACGCUAAGGCGCGAAAGCGUGGGGAGCGAACAGG
rnacentral:rRNA from 1 species